rnacentral:lncRNA from 1 species
ACUUAUCUUUAGACAUUUAAAAAAAAAGUGCCGUGAUCUCUCAUCAGGGGUUUGCAUGUGUUUUAGGAACACGCUUUCCGCCUGAAGCCAGGUGCACCUGUGGGUGAGCAAGUGAUGUGUUGCACGUGCACAGGAAAGCAUUGCCACCCUCCCUGCCCUGCUGGACUGGGGGUCAGGAUUUUAGGAAAUCCUUGGCUUUUCCGCUGGAGAAAUAACCUACAGACAAAAAAGAAGUAGCACCACAUUGUGAAAUCUGCAAAUCCUAGAGGUCAAUAGCUUGAAGGCAAUCCACAGGGACAGGGAAGAAAACAAGUGUCACAAGAGACAGACUAGCACAUACAAGGGCAGCAAGGUGGAAAAUGACUGUUUUUAGCACUGCUGACCCAGAAUACAGAGUAGGUACCCUUUUUCUCCUGGUAUCCACUGCCACCAGCUCAAAGGGCUGAUUUUUGGGCUGUGACCUGAAAAACUCCUUCAAAAAUGACACAUAGGUCGCUUUAAGGAGACAUGCAAUGAGAAAGCUUAAUGAAUAAGAAUCAUGCCCAAGUCCAAAGUCAGGGAAGAAAGCACGGUGAAAAGGAAACUGAGAGUCAGUGUCUUACUGCUUCAACCAACUGCCUCCACUGGACCCAAGAAGGAAUCCCCAAAACAUCUGAGGGUUCAAAUGGGCAUAUAUAUUGUGUCCCUACAAACCCUGUAGGGUUGCUUUUCUGACUAGAUGGUGAUUAGCUUAUGCCCUCAAGCAACAGAGACAGAAACUGAGGCUGCGAAAGUUAAGAAAAUGAGGUAUUUAUGCCUUGUACUUGAAAUGAAAAGGCGAACUUUGAAGUGCAAAGACUGGGUAUUCCUGAGAGAGCAGGGAGUCUGGAAGUGCAGGAGUCACACACGCUGUGCUCCCAUAAUGGCUUCGCCUUCCUUCGGUCCUGUGAACUAUCCCUGAGGUCAGUCUGAAGUUUGCCAGCAAGCCUGGUGACCACUCCCUAUCCCACUGGGGCUGCCAGACAGAGUGAAGUCUUCAGUAUUGCACAGGUAGGAAACAUCCAGAGUCUGAAAAAAAGUCCCAGUUGCUGGUGGGGCUGGGCUGGUUCCCCCAUCCCAGUUUUAGCAGGAUGUGGCCAUAGCCUUGGGGCUCUUGCUCAGCUCUGAGACUGUGGAGUGCGUGGGCACUGGUACCAGCAGGGAGGCAGGGCAUGUGCAGUAAGACCCUGCACAUCAGGGCCCAUUGGCUGCAAGAGGGCUCUAAAUGAAGAGCCCGCUGCAUCCCUUGGCAGAAGGGAGCACCAGGGCAGGCGAGGAGCAUGUCAGAUUCACACUGCAGGAGCUGGCCCGUGAAGUCAAAGUUGGGUGAGAUCACACCCCUCUGCUCAAUGCAAUCCAAGGCCUCCUUCAGGCCAACUGCUUGGUCUUCAUGAGGUAAGCCAUGCAGGUGGAGCGUGAAUGGGGGAUCCCAGUCUCACAGAGGACCAGGACCUGCCUCCCUUUCCCCUGACACAGUCAAUGAAGUCUAUUGCUUCUUGAAAGUGGGAGCUAACAUCAGUCACGUGGCUGUCUUCCAUGGGGAUCCAUUUGUGGUGCAGGUGGGCCAUGCAGGCCUCAGAGGUCUGCUGAGAGUAAGCAGGACCAUGAUGUACAGGUUGGUGAGGAUCUUGAACUUGCAUGCAUGGUGGGCACUUAAAGUUGGGGCCUAGAAAGAUUGCAACGGGGCCACCCUACUCAUUAGCCAGCCUGUAGCUGAUGUCAGGCGUUGCUUUCCCACACUGGUUAAUGAGGGCUUUUUCAUUUCAACCUCCUCUUGUGAAAUGGGUUUUAAAUCCACACAACACUCAGAAGAUUCUGAGUAAAAGGUAUCAUAUCCCCCUUUGAGGAAGCAGACCCAUGGGCCUGUGACUGACUGACCCAACCACUCACCACCUCAGAAGCCCUAAUUUACAUUUAAUAAGUCUCUGAAACUAUAUAUUGUCCAACAUAUUUCUCCUCAUGUGUUUAAACACAGAUUCUAUGCAAAUUUUAUUAUUUCAAUUCAGAUUUGGGAAGGAUUUGUAUAACAACAACAACACAAGAAUGCUGCUAAUGAUGAGGUUAAGAUUUUUGGUAUAGGGGUUUCCUCUUACAUAACAUGUCCAUAAAAUGGUAAGAUCUGUCAAUACCAGGUCAACCAUAUGUCUCAGAACUAUAGAGUUGCCAAGUAAUUAUCAGUGACAUUAAAUUUAAGGAACUUAGAGAUGAACCUCAAAUGUUGUAAGUUGUCCUUAAAAUUUGCUGUUUAAAUCUAAAAGUAAAUGUUUAAAUCACAUCUUGAGCUCACUUCCAUUUUCAGUCCCACCCAUCUGUACCCAGUUUUUUCACAUAUCAGUGGAAAGUUGAGAUAGUGUCAGGGCUCUUAAACAAGGUGCUGGAACAUCUGGAAGUUGUAGUAUUAUUUGACUGGGAAAUAUGGAUGUUUAAUUUUAUUCAAUCUCCUGUGCUAGAAACAAUUUACAAGCAAAAAAGGCCUAAAAGAUAGAAAUUCUAUGUUUUGUCAAAAUAAUUUCCUAUGUCCUAAAAGGCUGAAAUCUCUCCCUUAGAAGAACCAAGGGUUUUUUUUUAACUGCUUGCCUUUAACAUCUGCCGUCACUUUGGUUAAGUGGAUAACUAUUAUUUCACAGUGACCAGUGUUUCACAGUGACACAAGGUCAGCAAACACUUGAUCUUGUUUGACCAACUGUUUUAAACUCUUUUGAUAUUUUCAGCAUGCUUCCCCAAAAUUCAACUCCUAAAUGAUGUCUUUCUUUUGACCUGAAAGUAACUUUGAGAAUUCUCAGAGGACCCUGGGGACUUCUUAAAGAAUUUCUUCUCUUCCCAUAAAAAGGGAGAUACUACACUAAUUAGGUUUAUUUGGUAUGUUAAGUUGCCUGGGAAGCAUUGUCAAGUAAAUCAUGAUAAACCUUCCUGGGUUAUAUUGCAUAAGAAAACGUUAUUCAUUAUCUUAAACCUGUUGCCUUGCUCUCAGCACCACAGGUGGAAAAUGACCAUGACUGUAUUUUAUUAUGUAAUUUGAUGGAUGUUACUGAAAAGGUAAGCAGGGACACAACCAGGCUGGAUAUACUGUCCAACCUCAAGAAUGUCCACUGUUCUCUGUUAACCCUGCUAACCCAGUGAAAAAUUUCCUUCUACAGGCCCAAGAAAUUACCACAGAAGAAGAGAAAUAAAUAUGGCAACAAAAAGGGAGAAUUUU